UACGUAGGGUGCAAGCGUUAAUCGGAAUUACUGGGCGUAACGCGUGCGCAGGCGGUCAUGUAAGACAGAUGUGAAAUCCCCGGGCUCAACCUGGGAACUGCAUUUGUGACUGCAUCGCUGGAGUGCGGGAGAGGGGGAUGGAAUUCCGCGUGUAGCAGUGAAAUGCGUAGAUAUGCGGAGGAACACCGAUGGCGAAGGCAAUCCCCUGGGCCUGCACUGACGCUCAUGCGCGAAAGCGUGGGGAGCAAACAGG
rnacentral:rRNA from 1 species